rnacentral:rRNA from 1 species
GAUCCUGGCUUAGGAGUGAACGCUGGCGGCGUGCUUAACACAUGCAAGUCGAACGGGACUGUCGAACUGAUUUUUCGGAAUGACGUCUUGCAGUUAGUGGCGGACGGGUGAGUAACGCGUGGGUAACCUGCCUCACACAGGGGGACAACAGUUGGAAACGACUGCUAAUACCGCAUAAGCGCACGGUAUCGCAUGGUACAGUGUGAAAAACUCCGGUGGUGUGAGAUGGACCCGCGUCUGAUUAGCUUGUUGGUGAGGUAACGGCCCACCAAGGCGACGAUCAGUAGCCGGCCUGAGAGGGUGAACGGCCACAUUGGGACUGAGACACGGCCCAAACUCCUACGGGAGGCAGCAGUGGGGAAUAUUGCACAAUGGGGGGAACCCUGAUGCAGCGACGCCGCGUGAGUGAUGAAGUAUUUCGGUAUGUAAAGCUCUAUCAGCAGGGAAGAAGAAGGACGGUACCUGACUAAGAAGCCCCGGCUAACUACGUGCCAGCCGCGGC